GGUAUUUUGACCGUGCAAAGGUAGCAUAAUCAUUAGUUUUUUAAUUGAAAGCUGGAAUGAAAGGUUGGAUGAAAAAUAAGCUGUCUCUAUUUAAUUUUAUUAGAACUUUAUUUUUAAGUAAAAAAGCUUAAAUUUUGAUAGAAGACGAGAAGACCCUAUAGAGUUUUAUUUAUUUUUUAAAUAAGAUUAAUAGUAUUAAUUAUUUUUAUUUAAAAAACGAAUUUAGUUGGGGUGAUUGAAAAAUUUAAUAAACUUUUUUUAUAUAUAUACAUUAAUAUAUGAUUAAUUGAUCCUUAAUUUAAGAUUAAAAGAUAAAAUUACCUUAGGGAUAACAGCGUAAUUUUUUUUGAGAGUUCUAAUCGAAAGAAAAGAUUGCGACCUCGAUGUUGGAUUAAAAUAAAAUUUUGGUGUAGAAGCUAAAA
rnacentral:rRNA from 1 species